rnacentral:rRNA from 1 species
CUGGCCGCGUGCUUAACACAUGCAAGUCGAACGAUGAUGCCAGCUUGCUGGUGGGUUAGUGGCGAACGGGUGAGUAACACGUGAGUAACCUGCCCUUGACUCUGGGAUAAGCCUGGGAAACUGCGUCUAAUACCGGAUAUGACUGACUAUCGCAUGGUGGUUGGUGGAAAGCUUUUGUGGUUUUGGAUGGACUCGCGGCCUAUCAGCCUGUUGGUGGGGUAAUGGCCUACCAAGGCGAGGACGGGUAGCCGGCCUGAGCGGGUGACCGGCCACACUGGGACUGAGACACGGCCCAGACUCCUACGGGAGGCAGCAGUGGGGAAUAUUGCACAAUGGGCGCAAGCCUGAUGCAGCGACGCCGCGUGAGGGAUGACGGCCUUGGGGUUGCAAACCUCUUUCAGUAGGGAAGAAGCGUACAGGUGACGGUACCUGCAGAAGAAGCGCCGGCUAACUACGUGCCAGCAGCCGCGGUAAUACGUAGGGCGCAAGCGUUAUCCGGAAUUAUUGGGCGUAAAGAGCUCGUAGGCGGUUUGUCGCGUCUGCCGUGAAAGUCCGGGGCUCAACUCCGGAUCUGCGGUGGGUACGGGCAGACUAGAGUGAUGUAGGGGAGACUGGAAUUCCUGGUGUAGCGGUGAAAUUCGCAGAUAUCAGGAGGAACACCGAUGGCGAAGGCAGGUCUCUGGGCAUUAACUCACGCUGAGGAGCGG